UCAGGUUUUUAAAGGGUUAACAGAUGUAGUCGCAAGCCGUUUUCAACAUUUUUCAUUGGUUAAAUGUUUCUAAAACCAUCAGGCCAAUGUGAAGACUGAC